GACGAACGCUGGCGGCGUGCUUAACACAUGCAAGUCGAACGGAAAGGCCCUGCUUUUGUGGGGUGCUCGAGUGGCGAACGGGUGAGUAACACGUGAGUAACCUGCCCUUGACUUUGGGAUAACUUCAGGAAACUGGGGCUAAUACCGGAUAGGAGCUCCUGCUGCAUGGUGGGGGUUGGAAAGUUUCGGCGGUUGGGGAUGGACUCGCGGCUUAUCAGCUUGUUUGUGGGGUAGUGGCUUACCAAGGCUUUGACGGGUAGCCGGCCUGAGAGGGUGACCGGCGACAUUGGGACUGAGAUACGGCCCAGACGGCUACGGGAGGCAGCAGUGGGGAAUAUUGCACAAUGGGCGGAAGCCUGAUGCAGCAACGCCGCGUGCGGGAUGACGGCCUUCGGGUUGUAAACCGCUUUCGCCUGUGACGAAGCGUGAGUGACGGUAAUGGGUAAAGAAGCACCGGCUAACUACGUG
rnacentral:rRNA from 1 species